CCUACGGGAGGCAGCAGUGGGGAAUCUUGCGCAAUGGGCGAAAGCCUGACGCAGCCAUGCCGCGUGGAUGAUGAAGGUCUUAGGAUUGUAAAAUCCUUUCACCGGUGAAGAUAAUGACUGUAGCCGGAGAAGAAGCCCCGGCUAACUUCGUGCCAGCAGCCGCGGUAAUACGAAGGGGGCUAGCGUUGCUCGGAAUUACUGGGCGUAAAGGGAGCGUAGGCGGACAUUUAAGUCAGAGGUGAAAUCCCGGAGCUUAACUUCGGAACUGCCUUUGAUACUGGGUGUCUUGAGUGUGAGAGAGGUAUGUGGAACUCCGAGUGUAGAGGUGAAAUUCGUAGAUAUUCGGAAGAACACCAGUGGCGAAGGCGACAUACUGGCUCAUUACUGACGCUGAGGCUCGAAAGCGUGGGGAGCAAACAGGAUUAGAUACCCUGGUAGUCCACGCCGUAAACGAUGAUUGCUAGUUGUCGGGAAGCUUGCUUCUCGGUGACGCNGCUACGCAUAGACAUCCGCCGUGGGAGGUACGGUCGCGAGAUAACUACAAUAGAGUUAGACGGCGUGAGACGUGCCGACGGACGACGACGAGGGAGGUUAGG
rnacentral:rRNA from 1 species